UUAAAUCCAAAUCUUGCUUUUCUGGUGUGU
rnacentral:piRNA from 1 species